rnacentral:lncRNA from 1 species
UGCCCGCAUUUCAUCACACUGAAACUUAGAGAAUGACUUGGUGCUGUCUGCUGGCAUAUGGGUUAUAGCACAGGAGUCUUUGCCAUGAUAUUUAUUUCUGUCUGGAAGACAAUUUGGGGGUUCCCGGAACAUGGCUCCUGGCCUCCUACCUUGGAUGGUGAUGUGACUGGCUCUGUUUCACUGUUGGGCUUGCAGCUUCCUCCCAUGGCCAGAGGCAGGUGUGAUGACAGCUUCCAGGCUCACUUCUUCCCAGUUUCAUCAGCAGAGUCAAUGGAGUGCCUCUGUACCAACUCCAGACAGGACUCUUAUUGGCUUAAGUUCAUCACGAGUGGAUCUCUCAGGCCAAUCACAGGUGCGGCAUGAUGAUUGGUCCAGCUGGGUCACAUGCUCAUCUUGUAAACAGGAUGUACCCCACAACUUUGCCUUGAUGCUUUGGGUGUCUGGAAAACAACUUGCAUGUCUUUACCCAGAAGUGAAAGAAGAUAUAAUUGGGUAUUAAAUGAUGAAGACUUUUCUCCCAAUAAUCAAGCACCGAGUCAAGAGAAUCACAGUUAUCAGUAACUUCCGAAGUGCAG